GUCCUGGUGGCUCGCAGUGAAACGUGGACUUCUCUCAGAUCCACAUGAACAGAUCGGACUCUCUUUUCUGGGUUUUCUUCCUCCUGUUGCUGGAUGUCUGGAUUCACGCUGACGGAACUGACAUCGAGCUGAGUCAUUCAUCAGUUUCAGUGGAUGAAUCAGCAGUCUUCCCCAGCUAUCAUCUGAAUACUUUCAUCAACAUUCAAGCAAUGUUUUUACUUCCAUCCAUCCAUCCAUUUUCUACCGCUUAUCCGGGGCCGGGUCGCGGGGGCAGCAGUCUCAGCAGGGAUGCCCAGACUUCCCUGUCCCCAGACACUUCCUCCAGCUCCUCUGGGAGGAUCCCAAGGCGUUCCCAGGCCAGCCGAGAGACAUAGUCUCUCCAGCGUGUCCUGGGUCUUCCCCGGGGUCUCCUCCCAGUGGGACAUGCCCGGAACACCUCCCUAGGGAGGCGUCCAGGAGGCAUCCUAAACAGAUGUCCGAGCCACCUCAGCUGGUUCCUCUCGAUGUGGAGGAGUAGCGGCUCUACUCCGAGCUCCUCCCUGGUGACUGAGCUCCUCA
rnacentral:lncRNA from 1 species